rnacentral:lncRNA from 1 species
GUGUGUGUGUGUGUGUGAGAGAGAGAGAGAGAGAGAGAGAAUUGAAUAGAAAGUGGGUAUUCAUAUCUAUUGAUACAAAGCAGGUGGGGUAUCUUUACAAUAUUUGUUUUGAUAUGUAAGAGAAAUUUUGCACGAAGCCCAAUCUUAACUUCAUGAUUCAUCUAGUUUAGCUCUUCCAUGUUGUUCUUGCACUAGGGUUUCGCUUGGGUUAAGCAUUCCUUCAUGUUUGAGUUAUGGUCGAAAAUGUUAGGAAUUUCAAACCAAUAUGUGGGUGAAAUUAUAGAUGGAGCCCCAUUCCGUUCUAUGCUCGGUUUGGAUCUAUUUUGUAUUUUUAGUUUGGUU